rnacentral:rRNA from 1 species
AUUGAACGCUGGCGGCAGGCCUAACACAUGCAAGUCGAGCGGGGUUUUCGGACCUAGCGGCGGACGGGUGAGUAAUGCGUAGGAAGCUACCCGAUAGAGGGGGAUACCAGUUGGAAACGACUGUUAAUACCGCAUAAUGUCUACGGACCAAAGUGUGGGACCUUCGGGCCACGUGCUAUCGGAUGCGCCUACGUGGGAUUAGCUAGUUGGUGAGGUAAUGGCUCACCAAGGCCACGACCCCUAGCUGGUUUGAGAGGAUGAUCAGCCACACUGGAACUGAGACACGGUCCAGACUCCUACGGGAGGCAGCAGUGGGGAAUAUUGGACAAUGGGCGCAAGCCUGAUCCAGCCAUGCCGCGUGUGUGAAGAAGGCCUUCGGGUUGUAAAGCACUUUCAGUAGGGAGGAAGCGUUGUGUGUUAAUAGUACACAGCGUUGACGUUACCUACAGAAGAAGCACCGGCUAACUCUGUGCCAGCCGCCGCAGUAAUAC